CAUGUCUAAAGCUCCAGCCAGGAUGCUCGCGGUGAGCUUGGUUCUCCUGGAGAGUGGUUUCCCCAGCUGUGUGUGUCUGGAGAUGGAGGGACAGCUCCGAAAUCUG
rnacentral:lncRNA from 1 species